rnacentral:rRNA from 1 species
GACGAACGCUGGCGGCGUGCUUAACACAUGCAAGUCGAACGAUGAAGAAGAGCUUGCUCUUCGGAUUAGUGGCGAACGGGUGAGUAACACGUGACUAACCUGCCCCUUUCUCUGGGAUAACGCUCCGAAAGGAGUGCUAAUACCGGAUACUCACAUCGAGGCACAUGCCUUGAUGUGGGAAGUUUUCCGGAAAGGGAUGGGGUCGCGGCCUGUCAGCUUGUUGGUGAGGUAACGGCUCACCAAGGCGACGACGGGUAGCCGGCCUGAGAGGGGGACCGGCCACACUGGGACUGAGACACGGCCCAGACUCCUACGGGAGGCAGCAGUGGGGAAUAUUGCACAAUGGGCGAAAGCCUGAUGCAGCGACGCCGCGUGAGGGAUGAAGGUCUUCGGAUUGUAAACCUCUUUCAGUAGGGACGAAGCGAAAGUGACGGUACCUAAAGAAGAAGCACCGGCUAACUACGUGCCAGCCGCCGCCGUAA